GGCUUUGCGCAGUGGCAGUAUCGUAGCCAAUGAGGUUUAGCAGCGGCGUGAUUAUUACUAAUUGAAAACUUUUCCCAAUACCCCGCCAUGACAACUUGAAAUACAGUCGGCGUUGGCAAUUUUUGGCAGUCUCUACGGAGA
ensembl:snRNA U4 U4 spliceosomal RNA